GAUGAAAGCUGGCGGCGUGCCUAAUACAUGCAAGUCGAGCGAACGGACGAGAAGCUUGCUUCUCUGAUGUUAGCGGCGGACGGGUGAGUAACACGUGGAUAACCUGCCUAUAAGACUGGGAUAACUUCGGGAAACCGUAGCUAAUACCGGAUAAUAUUUUGAACCGCAUGGUUCAAAAGUGAAAGACGGGCUUGCUGUCACUUAUAGAUGGAUCCGCGCUGCAUUAGCUAGUUGGUAAGGUAACGGCUUACCAAGGCAACGAUGCAUAGCCGACCUGAGAGGGUGAUCGGCCACACUGGAACUGAGACACGGUCCAGACUCCUACGGGAGGCAGCAGUAGGGAAUCUUCCGCAAUGGGCGAAAGCCUGACGGAGCAACGCCGCGUGAGUGAUGAAGGUCUUCGGAUCGUAAAACUCUGUUAUUAGGGAAGAACAUAUGUGUAAGUAACUGUGCACAUCUUGACGGUACCUAAUCAGAAAGCCACGGCUAACUACGUG
rnacentral:rRNA from 1 species